AUACGUAGGGUGCGAGCGUUAAUCGGAAUUACUGGGCGUAAAGCGUGCGCAGGCGGUUUUUGUAAGACAGGUGUGAAAUCCCCGGGCUUAACCUGGGAACUGCGCUUGUGACUGCAAGACUUGAGUGCGGCAGAGGGGGGUGGAAUUCCACGUGUAGCAGUGAAAUGCGUAGAGAUGUGGAGGAACACCGAUGGCGAAGGCAGCCCCCUGGGUCGACACUGACGCUCAUGCACGAAAGCGUGGGGAGC
rnacentral:rRNA from 1 species